rnacentral:lncRNA from 1 species
GGGUGGAUUUUAUGAAAACCUCUGGAAAAUUAAUUUGCUUAUUUUAUGGUUAUCCUCGGGUUGUAUUUUAAACAUUAGGGUUAAUUUUUCUUUUUGUCUUUUUCUAUCUCACUUUUAAACUCCCACAUAGUCUUAAGAAUCCUACAAAACUUCCCACCCUCAUCCCCAGUUGGAAGGUGAAUAAAAGAAGUUGUAUAAUGGUCGUAUUCUCUGUUUAAGUGGGAAGUCUUCUGAGAUUAGCCUUCAUUUUAUAUCCUCAUUUUGUCUCUCCAGCAUCUUCAAGAAUGUGAAUUUGCUUUUUUAAUGGAUCUGCCUUUUUCAAGGUAAUUUGGUUUAACCUUCUCAAGCAUAGCUCAGCUUCACUGUAAUUGUUUUAUAGAUUUUGCAUCUUAAAGCUAGUAACUGAUAUUGCUAUAGUCUUAUCUGUGAAAACAAAUACAAAAUGGUAAGGAGACAUUAAAUAUUCUGCUUCAUAUUUUCUGCUUUAUAUUCUCCUUUUACCUAAUAGGGAAGAACUUUUUAAAGUUUUAAAUUUGACUUAAAUUUUAAAAGGUUCUGAAUUUGGGGUUCCAUAUCAACUAGGUAUCUGUUUACUCUGCAAAAAUAAUGCUAUGAAAUUACCUUGAAAUAACAGUUGGAUAAUAGAGUAUCGCCAAAAACAGGUGUAUUUAGGAAUCCCCAAAUUAUAACUAGAACUGAAACAGACUGGCAAAUUGAGGGUAAUUAAAAAUUAGCUUAUUUGGAUGCUGAACAAUGGAAUUGAACUUUAUCAGUCUUAUUAAUUUGGAAAAUUGGAGAACAUCUGAAGAGAGAACUCAUUCAUAUUGGUUUAUUACUCUAAGAAGAAAGUAAAGCUAUAUAUUCAUUCAGUGCAAUCAUUUGGUAAUAGGGAAGGAUGGGAGCUAAUAUUUCAUUUACAAUACAUAGUUUAUAAUGUACACUUGCUUUCAAAUAUCAUGCUGAAAUUAUGUUUAUGCUCUUCCUAUAAUGUAUACAAACAAAGAGGUUGCCAUAUAUUCAUUUAAUUAUUUAAAAAACCCAUUUAAGUAAACUCUGUUGUCAGUGGCUACUAAGGACCCUGAUUGAGUCCCUGGACUCGGAUGAACAUAUAUCCUUGAGCGUAUAGAACGAAGAAAUACAGUGGAUCUUUAUUAAAAAAUAAGUUGGAUAAUAAAAAUUGAGCUAAAAUUACUUACGCAUUUUCAUAUAAAUUCUUUCAAAUAGUCUUAAUUCUACACUUAUAAGUAAAUUAAUAAGCAUGUUGGAAAAACAUUCACAGCACCAUUGUUAUUACUUUUUUAUGAUAUGAAACUUUACGGGAAUUCUUCUGGCUUAGAAUAUUUGUUCACUCAUCUCCCAGUUGGGUGCACUGAAGGCCUAUCCCUGUCUUGUCCCCCCACCCCCAUAUUCAUAAAAAAUUGUGGGGACAACAAAUAUAACCAUAUGUAUUUGAGUGAUUUUCUAUUUUUCAUCUAGCUAAUCUCACUUCCUAGGCCCCAAAUAAUUAGGCUAUUAUAUUUAGAAAUGAAACAAUAUUUUGCUAUUAAUCUCACCAGUAAGGUGUUUUGGAAACAAAAAUUAAACGGUUUUCUGUUUCUUUUAAUUAAAAAGUCAUCUUCUGAGUGCUUACUGGUUCGACAUUUUAGAUGUCUGCUGGUACUAUUUGUCAGUGAUUUAGAGCUGGCACAUAUGGAGUCCCAGCUCUCAGCUCUAAUGCAAAGCCUAUUGGCAUCACCUGUUAGUAAAUUCUAAACCCAAGCACAGAAACGUGAGUUAAAAUCAAGUCUUGCUGGGUUAGUGUAUACUAAACUACACCUACACCUACAGAAUUUUUAGUAGAAAGAAGACAAAGCUGCUGGUAUAGGAUUUGUUUAUUUUGAAGAGGGAAACAAACACAACAACCUCAAUGCAGUGUGUAAUUUUGUUCAACUACCUCUUAAUGUGGAAUUAGCUAGUUUAAUAGUUUCUUCACAGUAGUGUUACAUAGUAACUGCCAAAUUUGUUAGUUCCCCAUCUCUCUUGAAGAGGCUUUAUGAUUAUUUUAUAGUUUUGGGAACUUUAAAGCCACUUUUUUUUAACCUUGCAUUUGCAUAAAGAUGUUUAGCUUUUAAGUGGAAAGCAAAUUAUGAUCAUAUAUUUUGAUAUUCAUGACCUAUUUGACUAUAGCAGUUUUUUUUAAAUGCACUUUGGCUAUGAAACCAUGGAUGAUUUGAUCCAUAAAAUUUAAAUGUGCCAUCAAUUUAGUAUUCCUAGACAAGAGCUUGAUGAAUGGUAUUCUGUAAUUAUAUAAUGUACCACACGUUAUUGUCUUAAUUGCCCUUUGCCUGAAUUUUAAUGAUCAGUUAUUGUUGCAAAUGUGAAUACUGUGCAUAAACUUACUAAAUUUAUGUAAAAUUGUAUAAAGCAGAAUUGGAAAUAGCUAGGUCCUCUCCCUGUAGAAAUAGUGAAUUUACUGUAACAUGAUGCAGUUAUGUAUAUGACAUUCUGUACUUCUUGAACUGGAUCAUAUAUUCAUAAAACUUCUGUAGAUACUUUUGCAUGAAUAUUUUGUUUAGUUUUUGGAUUCAUUGUAUUGUUUACUUGUGAUCAUGUAGUUGUGCCUUAUUUGUGAGAGAGUUUAGCUCAGUAAAUACUGUGGUUUCUAAACUCAGUGAGUGGAAGGUUAUUGAUUAUAAAUGUAACUGAUAAAUUAUAUAACAUUUGAAUCUGUAUAAAGAACAAUGGAAGAAUCCUUUAUUGAAUUGUUGCUUUUUUAAAAAAAUAUGCUAAAGAUAUUAAAAAUAAUUUCUAG